CGGGUUGUCAUGCCAAUGGCACUGCCCGGUAGCUAAAUGCGGAAGAGAUAAGUGCUGAAAGCAUCUAAGCACGAAACUUGCCCCGAGAUGAGUUCUCCCUGACUCCUUGAGAGUCCUGAAGGAACGUUGAAGACGACGACGUUGAUAGGCCGGGUGUGUAAGCGCAGCGAUGCGUUGAGCUAACCGGUACUAAUGAACCGUGAGGCUUAACCUUACAACGCCGAAGCUGUU
rnacentral:rRNA from 1 species